rnacentral:rRNA from 1 species
CGUCAAGUCAUCAUGGCCUUUAUGUCCAGGGCUGCACACGUGCUACAAUGCGGCGUACAAAGGGAAGCCAACCCGCGAGGGGGAGCCAAUCCCAUAAAACCAUUCUCAGUUCGGAUUGCAGGCUGCAACUCGCCUGCAUGAAGCCGGAAUCGCUAGUAAUCGCGGAUCAGCAUGCCGCGGUGAAUACGUUCCCGGGCCUU